GACGAACGCUGGCGGCGUGCCUAAAACAUGCAAGUCGAACGAGGCCUUCGGGUCUAGUGGCGAACGGCGGAGUAAUACGUGAACAACGUGCCCCUAAGUCUGGGACAAACGCAGAAAUGUUAUAAAUACCAGAUGUGGUCGAGAGUGGACAUCCACAUUCGAUUAAAGGCUUUUCGCUUAGGGAGCGGUUCACGGCCUAUCAGCUAGUUGGUGGGGUAAAGGCCUACCAAGGCGACGACGGGUAGGGGGUCUGAGAGGAUGAUCCCCCCGAGUGGGACUGAGACACGGCCCACACACCUACGGGUGGCAGCAGUUGGGAAUCUUGCACAAUGGGGGAAACCCUGAUGCAGCGACGCCGCGUGGAGGAUGAAGGAUUUAGGUCUGUAAACUCCUUUUGCAGGGAAAGACUUAGGACGGUACCCUGAGAAUAAGCUCCGGCUAACUACGUGC
rnacentral:rRNA from 1 species